rnacentral:rRNA from 1 species
CCUACGGGGGGCAGCAGUGAGGAAUAUUGGUCAAUGGGCGAGAGCCUGAACCAGCCAAGUCGCGUGAAGGAAGAAGGAUCUAUGGUUCGUAAACUUCUUUUGCAGGGGAAUAAAGUGCAGGACGUGUCCUGUUUUGUAUGUACCCUGAGAAUAAGGAUCGGCUAACUCCGUGCCAGCAGCCGCGGUAAUACGGAGGAUCCGAGCGUUAUCCGGAUUUAUUGGGUUUAAAGGGUGCGUAGGUGGUUUGAUAAGUCAGCGGUGAAAGUUUGCAGCUUAACUGUAAAAAUGCCGUUGAAACUGU